rnacentral:rRNA from 1 species
AUGAACGCUGGCGGCGUGCCUAAUCCAUGCAAGUCGAGCGAACAGACGAGGAGCUUGCUCCUCUGACGUUAGCGGCGGACGGGUGAGUAACACGUAGGUAACCUACCUAUAAGACUGGGAUAACUUCGGGAAACCGGAGCUAAUACCGGAUAAUAUUUCGAACCGCAUGGUUCGAUAGUGAAAGAUGGCUUUGCUAUCACUUAUAGAUGGACCGGCGCCGUAUUAGCUAGUUGGUAAGGUAACGGCUUACCAAGGCAACGAUACGUAGCCGACCUGAGAGGGUGAUCGGCCACACUGGAACUGAGACACGGUCCAGACUCCUACGGGAGGCAGCAGUAGGGAAUCUUCCGCAAUGGGCGAAAGCCUGACGGAGCAACGCCGCGUGAGUGAUGAAGGUCUUCGGAUCGUAAAACUCUGUUAUUAGGGAAGAACAAACGUGUAAGUAACUGUGCACGUCUUGACGGUACCUAAUCAGAAAGCCACGGCUAACUACGUG